CCCAUUCCUUUAUGGAAGUAAGACCCCUAAGAGAUGAUUAGGUAGAUAGGCUAGAAGUGGAAGUGCAGCAAUGUAUGGAGCGGACUAGUACUAAUUGGUCGAGGACUUAACCAAG
rnacentral:rRNA from 1 species